AGAGUUUGAUCAUGGCUCAGAACGAACGCUGGCGGCGUGCCUAACACAUGCAAGUCGAGCGGGAAAGUUCCCUUCGGGGAGCGAGUACAGCGGCGAACGGGUGAGUAACACGUAGGUAACCUACCCUGGGGUCCGGGAUAACCCGUCGAAAGAUGGGCUAAUACCGGAUAAGACCACGAGGGCUUCGGCUCUUGAGGUAAAAGAUGGCCAAUGCUUGCAAGCUAUCACCCCGAGAUGGGCCUGCGCGCCAUUAGCUAGUUGGUGAGGUAACGGCUCACCAAGGCGAAGAUGGCUAGCUGGUCUGAGAGGAUGAUCAGCCACACUGGGACUGAGACACGGCCCAGACUCCUACGGGAGGCAGCAGUGGGGAAUAUUGCGCAAUGGGCGAAAGCCUGACGCAGCGACGCCGCGUGAGUGAUGAAGGCCUUCGGGUCGUAAAGCCCUGUCGGGAGGGACGAAAUCUUGCCGACCUAAUACGUCGGUGACUUGACGGUACCUCCAAAGGAAGCACCGGCUAACUCCGUGCCAGCAGCCGCGGUA
rnacentral:rRNA from 1 species